GCCCAACGGCUGAGUUGCAACACAAUCGAAUUGCGGGGAAGUCCUAAAGCCUCAGGGUACUAACCUGCUGUAGGAAUGCAGCAGGGGCCUGUGUUAAUCGCACAGGGUAUAGUAACAACCCCGGAGGAUCUAGCCAGGUGUGCUAGAAUGGACGAUCCGCAGCGAAGCCCCCUAGACCAGGGGAACGUUCACAGACUAAGUGGUUGUGGGUAGGAGGGACUCCUGCUUAAGAUAUAGUCGGGCCGGCGCGGAAACGCGCUGGGGAUUCGCAAGAACGUAAACCGCUCCGUAGGUGAACCUGCGGAGGGAUC
rnacentral:ncRNA from 1 species